AUCGUUCAUCUUCGAAAGAAGACGGAAGUAGGUGAAAACUGAAGGAACGCGAC
rnacentral:ncRNA from 10 species